rnacentral:rRNA from 1 species
GAUACCCUGGUAGUCCACGCAGUAAACGAUGAAUACUAACUGUCCGGGUCGAUUGAGACCUGGGUGGUACAGCGAAAGCGUUAAGUAUUCCACCUGGGGAGUACGCCGGCAACGGUGAAACUCAAAGGAAUUGACGGGGGCCCGCACAAGCGGAGGAACAUGUGGUUUAAUUCGAUGAUACGCGAGGAACCUUACCCGGGCUCAAACGACGGAUGAAUGUUUUUGAAAGGAGGCAGCCCUUCGGGGCGUCCGUCGAGGUGCUGCAUGGUUGUCGUCAGCUCGUGCCGUGAGGUGUCGGCUUAAGUGCCAUAACGAGCGCAACCCCUACCGUCAGUUGCCAACAGGUAAGGCUGGGGACUCUGACGGGACUGCCGGCGCAAGCUGCGAGGAAGGCGGGGAUGACGUCAAAUCAGCACGGCCCUUACGUCCGGGGCGACACACGUGUUACAAUGGCAGGUACAGCGGGAAGCCACCUGGCGACAGGGCGCGGAACCCGAAAACCUGUCUCAGUUCGGAUUGGAGUCUGCAACCCGACUCCAUGAAGCUGGAUUCGCUAGUAAUCGCGCAUCAGCCACGGCGCGGUGAAUACGUUCCCGGGCCUUGUACACACCGCCCGUCAAGCCAUGGAAGCCGGGAGUGCCUGAAGUGCGUGACCGCAAGGAGCGCCCUAAGGCAGUACCGGUGACUGGGGCUAAGUCGUAACAAGGUAAC